rnacentral:lncRNA from 1 species
CCUAAUCUCCGAGCACAGCAAAAACAACUCACUUUUAUUAUUAUGAGAGAAGAUAUUACAAAUUGGGAUAUAUAACGGAGGAGAGUUUAAUUUAUAACCCUCAAACCUCCUUCCCAAACAAUGAACCCACCGAUGUGGGACUUGGGAUUAAGCCAAAAUCAACAACAUGAUCAUAACUCCCAUAUUUUUCUAGUUCUUACUCCUGAUAUUCCUGAAGAGGAUACUGACCUUGAGGACGAAGAUUAUAUCCACGUAAAGGUGAAAAAACAAAGAAAACACGAAAAAACUUUAAACUUUUACAAUGAUCAUUUGAAUGAUUGUCGAACUUUAUUGAUAAAUAUCCACUUAUAAAAGUUUUAUGAAUAUUCAAAUUAGAAAGAACGAGAAAAACAUAUAAAAAAUUAUUUAGUGAGUAAAGAUGAAAUUAGACGAAUAAUCCUUUCAAAAUAAAAUUAUAUUUAUAAGUUUUGUAAGAUUAAGUUAUUAUCUAAAUACAAAUCGCUAAUGCCUAUCGCUAAUGCCUAUUUUGUUUUAGUGGUAGACUUAGUUUAUUAAAUAAUAAUCUAUUCAUGAUUUUCAAUUAUGAAUUCAAAUUGAAAUGAUGAAUGAUUAAAUAAUGAAUACAUGUAAUUAAUUUCAAUAUCUAUAACGAUCAGAAUCAUUCAAAGGACAAUAGUGAGAUUAUAACACGAGAAAAACUUAAUUAAGGCAAAAAAAAAAGAGUAAGAAAUGUGAGAAUGGAUCAUAGAAAUGUAAUUUAUGAAAAAGAAAUGAUCUAGAAAGGAAAGAACAAAAAUGACAGGCAAGUUGAAAGAUGAACAGAGCAAUAAAGAAUAGUUAAAAACUGGAGAGACGUAUCAAGAGUGUAUAUAUUGGGAUCUGCUGUUAUGAUUCUGCUUAUUCCUAUCACCACCACCAUCACAUUCUUCCCUAACACCACAUUCUUUAAUACCCUUUCUUUAUUAUUUAAAUAAUACCAUAUUUAUUAUAUCCCACAACCAAAUCCAAACUUAUAACACCAAAAAUACUAAUUUUCAUUUUUUAAUAUUUUUUUCUCUCUAUCCUCAUCAAAUAGAAUAUUGCAACACUCAUAAUAAAUGUCCACUUGCAAUAUAUUGUGCAAAUCAAAGUAAGAGUAAACCCAUCUUCACAACUUCCAUUAUUUUUUUUAAUAAAUUAUAGUAUAAAAUUUUUUAUGUAUUAAAUAUUUUUAUUCAUAAUACUUAAAUUUAUAAAAAUAAUAAUUUAUACCAGACAAAGAUAAAGAAGUAUUAUGUAUGACCUAUGUAGCACAGACACGGACACGGACACGGACACGAUACAGAUACGAACACGAAAAUACGUAUAAUUUUUAAAAUAUAGGAUACGAGACUCAGAUCUAUAUAUUAUAUAAUUAUAAAUUGACAAUAAAGAUUUAUUUGCACUAAAUAUUUUUCAGUUUUGUUUUUAGCAGAAAUAUAUUUUUCAUGGUUGGUUCGAAAUGAUUUGUUCCUUAUUUCUAUAAUCAUAAUAAAAAUUUAUACAAUAACUUUGAGUUUUUAAGAAAAUUAAUGUAUUUUUUGUUUUAAAAAUUGUGUUGAACCCGUGUUAGAAUUUUCAGAAAUUCAACAAAUAUUUUUUGACGUUAAGAUUUAAGUGAUAAGUAUCUUAUGACUAUCGUAUCCGACACUGACAUUUAAAGAUUAUUUGAGCUUGAUUAGUGAAUGACUCCUUAGAUACUUACUUGACUAGUUAUGCUUCAACUGUUGUGUCUUCUAAUUUUACCGUUUUCAAUAGAUUUUAAUUAAUAUAAAUAUAAAAAAAUGUUUAAUAAUAUAUUGAUAGCACUCUUCUACUCACUGUUGUGUUAAAUUAAAGUAUUAUUAUCCCAAUUACGUAAACUCAAAAUAAAAAUAUUCACCUCAAGUUAACUUAACCAACCGCACACAUCCAGCACGUGGGGCCCACACCACUUGGGUCCAUCCAUCGAAACUCGCGCCAGAGAGAGAGAAAGAAAGAGACCCAAUCCAAUGCACCACGCGCCACGCCGCGUAUAUAAAUACCCAAAACCGGUUCUCCACUCUCUCUGUAAUUCAAUUUCCAAGCACCAACGUUAGCGUUUCGGAGAAACCCACACACACAGUAAGAGGUUUCAGACCACGCACCUUGUCGGAAACUACGCUUUUACCCUCUCGCGGUGUCGGAGAGGAACAUGAUCGUAGGGAGAACAACAACAACAUCAUCAUCAUCGACCACAGAAACAUCAUGGUGCGCUGUUUCAGCUUAGGAUCCGUUCUCAUUCUGGCGGCGCU